GAAGAAUAUCAUUUAGGUGACGCUCCAGAGAUGAAGUGUUCUCCAGGCUUCAUGACUGUGAUACUCUUAAUGCUUGGACAAACCCAUGGAGACUCGGUGACUCAGACGGAGGGCCAAGUGACCCUCUCAGAAAAGGGUUUCCUGACGGUGAACUGUACUUAUUCAGGAUCAGGGUAUCCUGCCCUUUACUGGUAUGUCCAGUAUCCAGGAGAAGGUCCACAGCUCCUCCUGAGUGCCUUGACGGAUAAGGAGAAAGGAAGCAAGAAAGGAUUUGAAGCCACCUAUGACAGAGAUUCCAAAUCCUUCCACUUGGAGAAAGGCUCAGUGCAAGCGUCAGAUUCAGCUGUGUAUUACUGUGCCAUGAGUGACAGUGGGGUAGAGAGACUCUCAGCUGGAACACAGAGAAUUAUGACAGGACCCACACAACUUGCUACACCAGGAAACCCCUGUUUCCUGCUCUGGAGCCACGGCAGCAUGUACCCAGCAAUCCUUCCCUCACCCUGUCAGGCUUUCCUUAAAGUGCCAAACCCUGAAAUUAAAGAAGAAGAAGAAGACAUUUUCCAUCUAGUGGGAGAACUCAAACGUGUUGCUCUGCAACCUUCUCAAGGUGGUCAUGGCUUCCAUGUGGCUAAGUAA